rnacentral:ncRNA from 1 species
GCAGAGUAGGUCAUCGUGAGUUACGUGCCGGCGGAACAGGGAGUUGAUCGCCGGACGAAGCGCCAAACGGCGCGCUGUACGAUAGCCGCAUCCCGCUGC